CUAUGUUACUGAGACGAGAUUGGCCAGCUCACUCCAUGUUGGUCGUCCAGACCAACCCUUCAUCCAUUGGUCAAUCACUUCUGUCAAGCAGCCAGCACUGUCGUUGGGACACGAAUCACAACACACUGUGACAAAAAAAUACGCAAUCUGCUGACAGUCACUGGAGGUGCUUGGUGAUCCCAAACCCUAGGCUCCCACUGCGGAGGAGAUAACGUCUUUGUACAACCUAGCAAUAUGUACAAUCGUCCCAAAAGAACGAGUUGGUCUUUGCCAUACCUGGAGUGGUGUAUGUGCUGUGUGUGUAUAUGACACAUGUGCUUAUAGGCUGCAUGUCACAAAGACAAUAAUAAUGUACAUGUGUACAUACAAAGAUUAAUGACUAAUGCUGUUUAUGA